rnacentral:rRNA from 1 species
GACGAACGCUGGCGGCGUGCUUAACACAUGCAAGUCGAACGGAAAGGCCCUGCUUUUGUGGGGUGCUCGAGUGGCGAACGGGUGAGUAACACGUGAGUAACCUGCCCUUGACUUUGGGAUAACUUCAGGAAAAUGGGGCUAAUACCGGGUAGGAGCUCCUGCUGCAUGGGGGGGGUUGGAAAGUUUCGGCGGUUGGGGGUGGACUCGCGGCUUAUCAGCUUGUUGGUGGGGUAGUGGCUUACCAAGGCUUUGACGGGUAGCCGGCCUGAGAGGGUGACCGGCCACAUUGGGACUGAGAUACGGCCCAGACUCCUACGGGAGGCAGCAGUGGGGAAUAUUGCACAAUGGGCGGAAGCCUGAUGCAGCAACGCCGCGUGCGGGAUGACGGCCUUCGGGUUGUAAACCGCUUUCGCCUGUGACGAAGCGUGAGUGACGGUAAUGGGUAAAGAAGCACCGGCUAACUACGUG